CCCGUCCCUCGGCCAAGCCCUCCAGCCUCUGCCCCCUCCUCUUAAAAGGGAAAAAUACAACUAGCAUUUUGUCAGUCAUUCAGGUACUCCUGUAACCAUCAGAGCAAGAAGUGCAGGUGGUACCUCUUUCUUUAUCUGCCCUCCAAAAAAGAGCCGUGAUUCAACACUGGAGCAUCAAAUAAAAGAGCUUUCCUCCAGAUGGCAUGGUACAAAUAAAACAGCUCAUGAAGAACACCCAAGGCACAG
rnacentral:lncRNA from 1 species